AAGUUAAGUUCUUGAAAGUAAAAAGAUUUGGCGGUAUUUUAGUCUUUUCAGAGGAACCUGCCCUUUAAACGAUAGUCCACGAUUAAUAAAACUUAUUUUUUGUUUGUAUAUCGUCGUAGUAGAUUAUUUUAUAAGAAAAUUAAUGGUCUUUUUCUUUUAGGAUUGAAAUCAGAUCAAGGUGCAGCUUGUGAAUAAGUAGAGGUGGGUUACAAUAAAUUUAUUUAUAUGGAUAAGAAUAUUAAAUCUUCUUUGAAGGCGGAUUUGAAAGUAAUUUUGUUUAUUUUGAUAAAAUGAUUAAGCUCUAAAAUAUGUACAUAUCGCCCGUCACUCUCAUAAAAAUUGAGAUAAGUCGUAACAUAGUAGAUGUACUGGAAAGUGUAUCUGGUUUGACAAGUUAGAGCUUAAAUAAGCGUUUUAUUUACACUAAAGAGUUAAUUGGUUUCCGAUUUAAUGAAUUUAACUUUCUAUUUUCUUAUUUUUUAUUUAUUUUUUAAAAAAAGUAUUUUGGUUAUUUUAUUCUUUAGAGUGUAAUAUUUUAGUUUUUAGUACUGUGAAGGAAUAAUAUUAAAUAUUUAUAAGAAGUUAUUUAGACGUACCUUGUGUAUCAGGGUUUAUUAAAAAAUAAUUAAAAAUUUAAUUUUCCCGAAUUUUAAAGAGUUAAUUGAUUUUAUGUUUUACUGUUGAACAAGUAUUCUAUAUAAUUAAUUGGAAAUGAAAUGUUAUUCGUUUUUUAAUAUAUCUGGUUUCUGAAGAAACGAAUUUAAUUCGGUUUUUAAUAAUAAAUAAUCUUUUUUAUUAAAUUAUUUAUUUUAAAUUUUAAUAUAUAAAGGGAUAAGCUUUUAUAUAAAAUGUUAUAAAGUAUUUUUUUAUUCUUUGAAGUAGGAUUAGAAAUUUCUUUCUUUAAUUUUUUAUAAUUAAUAAGUAUUGAAUAAAAUAUUUUAUGUUUUUUAACUUUUUUAUUCAGAAUAUUUAAUUAAUAUUUAUUAUAUGUUAUAAUGAUUGAAUUAGUAUAAUUUUAUGUAUAAAUUAAUUUAUUUUUAUAGAUAAUUAAAAGGAACUAGGCAAAUCUUUCUUUCGCCUGUUUAUUAAAAACAUGUCUUUUUGAUUAAAAUAUAAAGUCUGACCUGCCCUAUGAUUGAUUAAAUGGCCGCAGUAUUUUGACUGUGCGAAGGUAGCAUAAUCAUUAGUUUCUUAAUUAGGAACUGGAAUGAAUGGUUUGACGAAAUGGAUUCUGUCUCUUAUUUAAAUUUAGAAUUUUAUUUUUGAGUUAAAAAGCUUAAAUUAAGUUAAAAGACGAGAAGACCCUGUAGAUUUUUACAUUUUUAAAUUAAAUUUUUUUAUGAAUUGUUUUGUUUUUAUUUUUGAAGUGUUUAGUUGGGGUGACUAAAAAAUUUAAUUAACUUUUUUUAUUUCAUAUUAUAUGAUUUAUAUAUAUAGUGAUACACGAUUUCGUGCGCGUCUUAUA
rnacentral:rRNA from 1 species